rnacentral:rRNA from 1 species
GAUGAACGCUGGCGGCGUGCCUAAUACAUGCAAGUCGAGCGAACGGACGAGAAGCUUGCUUCUCUGAUGUUAGCGGCGGACGGGUGAGUAACACGUGGAUAACCUACCUAUAAGACUGGGAUAACUUCGGGAAACCGUAGCUAAUACCGGAUAAUAUUUUGAACCGCAUGGUUCAAAAGUGAAAGACGGUCUUGCUGUCACUUAUAGAUGGAUCCGCGCUGCAUUAGCUAGUUGGUAAGGUAACGGCUUACCAAGGCAACGAUGCAUAGCCGACCUGAGAGGGUGAUCGGCCACACUGGAACUGAGACACGGUCCAGACUCCUACGGGAGGCAGCAGUAGGGAAUCUUCCGCAAUGUGCGAAAGCCUGACGGAGCAACGCCGCGUGAGUGAUGAAGGUCUUCGGAUCGUAAAACUCUGUUAUUAGGGAAGAACAUAUGUGUAAGUAACUGUGCACAUCUUGACGGUACCUAAUCAGAAAGCCACGGCUAACUACGUG